UGUGUAUAUGUGUAUAUAUGUGUGUGUACAUGUAUAUGUAUAUAGGCACAUAUAUACAUACAUACUGCUGGUAAUGAGAUAGAUG
rnacentral:miRNA from 1 species